GUCUGUGUGAUGAUUUAUAAGUCGGAUACCCCUUCACUCACUAAGUGAUAACUUCUAUCUGAUGGAC